rnacentral:rRNA from 1 species
UUCGUCACACUAUCAUUAACUGAAUCCAUAGGUUAAUGAGGCGAACCGGGGGAACUGAAACAUCUAAGUACCCCGAGGAAAAGAAAUCAACCGAGAUUCCCCCAGUAGCGGCGAGCGAACGGGGAGGAGCCCAGAGCCUGAAUCAGUGUGUGUGUUAGUGGAAGCGUCUGGAAAGGCGCGCGAUACAGGGUGACAGCCCCGUACACAAAAAUGCACAUACUGUGAGCUCGAUGAGUAGGGCGGGACACGUGGUAUCCUGUCUGAAUAUGGGGGGACCAUCCUCCAAGGCUAAAUACUCCUGACUGACCGAUAGUGAACCAGUACCGUGAGGGAAAGGCGAAAAGAACCCCGGCGAGGGGAGUGAAAAAGAACCUGAAACCGUGUACGUACAAGCAGUGGGAGCACGCUUCGGCGUGUGACUGCGUACCUUUUGUAUAAUGGGUCAGCGACUUAUAUUCUGUAGCAAGGUUAACCGAAUAGGGGAGCCGAAGGGAAACCGAGUCUUAACUGGGCGUUAAGUUGCAGGGUAUAGACCCGAAACCCGGUGAUCUAGCCAUGGGCAGGUUGAAGGUUGGGUAACACUAACUGGAGGACCGAACCGACUAAUGUUGAAAAAUUAGCGGAUGACUUGUGGCUGGGGGUGAAAGGCCAAUCAAACCGGGAGAUAGCUGGUUCUCCCCGAAAGCUAUUUAGGUAGCGCCUCGUGAAUUCAUCUCCGGGGGUAGAGCACUGUUUCGGCAAGGGGGUCAUCCCGACUUACCAACCCGAUGCAAACUGCGAAUACCGGAGAAUGUUAUCACGGGAGACACACGGCGGGUGCUAACGUCCGUCGUGAAGAGGGAAACAACCCAGACCGCCAGCUAAGGUCCCAAAGUCAUGGUUAAGUGGGAAACGAUGUGGGAAGGCCCAGACAGCCAGGAUGUUGGCUUAGAAGCAGCCAUCAUUUAAAGAAAGCGUAAUAGCUCACUGGUCGAGUCGGCCUGCGCGGAAGAUGUAACGGGGCUAAACCAUGCACCGAAGCUGCGGCAGCGACACUAUGUGUUGUUGGGUAGGGGAGCG